rnacentral:lncRNA from 1 species
AAGUGGUGUAGAGAGCUAACCAAUGAAAGCAGUUGAGUAGAGACCUCGAGUUACGAAGAAAAUCAACGACGCUUAAUCUGUGAAGAGAAUCCACCGCCUCGCCUUAGUUCUUGUGGAUGUCGGCACUGUAUAAUCCUCGCUUCAACGCCAUUGCCUAUCAAAACCUAAAACAAAUUAAGACAGCAGGAACUGAAAGAGAAAGUGGAAAUGAGAUAAAAUCUAGUGAAAGUCCAUCGCUAGGCAAUAAUGGGACACUAACCAGUCAUAAAAGUUCAGGUUAGCUGACGUAAACUCAUCCCAUGAAAAAUGAUGAACCAUGCCUCGCCACACCUGCUUAGCAACUUCGCAGUCCCAUAAAACAUGAAAGGCUGAUUCUAUUUCUGCAUGACAAACGCUUCACUUAGAUGUCGCCGAAUCCGUUCAAAGUUAGUGAGUCAUAAGAAUAUGCGCAUGCAUUGAGGUCCAUUCCAUUUCCAAAUCUGUUUCCAGCGCCUAUCUAGCAGAGAAUAACCUGUUUUAAUGGAGAACUGACGGGGGUACGUAGUAAGAUCCCAGACUGGACAAUCAAGUCCCAUGUAUAACGAAGGUGGUGGAAUAGCCGAGAGAGAGAAGAGUAGAGGCUCCUUCAUCCGAUUCCAAGACCAACGACCCUCCUCAUUCACGUAGUCACUAACAGGGCAAUGCAGGAUACUGUCUCGGGGUUGCUUGACUGCUACCUUACUCAGAGGAAUGCCACCGAAAACAUAAGUAUUUUCCAGACCUUGACGGCUUCCCGUUCGCAACUGACCAAACUGGUGAAUUCCACAUUGCUUUAGAAUUUGUGGAACAGAGGCAAUAUGCCCUUAUAAAAGUCUCAGUUACUCCUCUCUAGUUUUUGGAGUGAACAAAUAACAAAUUUAACACAAACCAACUUUUCCGAGAGCCAAAAGCCAUCUUUCUUUUGCCAAAGCUUAUCCACUGUAGACUGCAUAGAAUAGACUGGAAUAGCUACGAUUGAGCUAGAC